rnacentral:lncRNA from 1 species
CAUAAAAAUUCAGCCCAAAUCGAACGGCCCAAGGAGUAAAGCCCAAUUGGAAGAUCCCCAAAUCAGAUAGCCCAAAGAACGAAGUCCAAUCGAACAAAUCAAGGUGAAGGCCCAAAUAAGGGGGCCCAAGAAUGCUGUAACGCCAUCGCCCAAGUUUGCAAGUCGCCCAGAAUUUGAACGAAUAGAGUGUUAUACGGUCGCCCAGAGCUGUUAUUCUAUUCUUGCCCAAACUUUCAAGUCGCCCAAGGUAUCAACAAACAUAACGCGUCGUGGUUAUCAAGAAAUGCAAUUAUCAAAGCAGUGGUUAAAGCAGCCCUAUCACGUUCCACGACUCAAGGAAUUCAAUCGAAAGCGGUUGAACGAUGAAAGGUAAUGGCAGCAGUUAAAAGGCAGUUUUCAUGACAAAAUGGCCACUACGAAGAAAGUGGGUAGUUAUAGGAUGAUCAAGCAGUUUUUAGAGUAGUUAAUCGCAAAGAGAUCGUCUAUGAAGUAUAAAAGGGAGAAAAGACAUAGAAGCAGGAGACCGAAUCCAAAACUCUCAAACAGAGAAUAUGUAAUUUUCAUUUCCUUAGUUUUUAGACUUAAACACUUUUCUUUCAGUAUCUCGUGUGCUUGCGCCCCUUGGAGGCACGUUGUUUUUCAUUUCCAAUUGUAAAGUCAUCGCCAAUAAAAGAACACCCCUUUUUAGGACUUUGUCUCAAGAGGUUUGUCCCUUACACAAUCGUCUGAUCCCUUUUAAUUGUUAGCGACUAACCCGCGCCAAACAAUUUGGCACGCCCAAUGGGACAGUGGUGUUAGGUGUUGAAAGUACAAAAUGGGAAACAAUAUGCCUCAGAGAUCCGAUGAGGAAGCAGCAAGUCAGGGAGGAAUCCAGCCUGUAAUCAAGCGAUAUGAGGAGCAGCAUGCCUCUCCACGAUCAGAUGGAUAAAAUCAGAGCAGUAACAGUCGUUACGAACCAAUGACGGAGUUGAGUCCUCGAACCAUGCGUGCAUUACUUGGAGAACUCACAUAAGACGUCGUUGAACAGGUAAAUCUUCGAAGUAUUCAUAAUAUGGAAAGAUUUACACAAAAUGGGAACGUACACUAUGACAACAUGGCCAAACAACUAAAGACGUUGAAUGAAACAAUGAACAAGUUAGUAGGCCAAAUAUGUCAACCGGCUAUACCUCUUACAAAUCACUUUCAAACUAGGACAAUUGUAGGACAUAAUCCCUCGGUCCUAAAUCCGAGUCAAGGGGUAGAACCACUUUUUGAUCCCUCUACUUCAAACCAAGGAGGUACUACAGUACCAAAUCAAAGCAAUGGUAGUGGUAUGCCUAACUUGGGGGGUAAUCCAAACGUGAGAGAUAAUGUCCUAAACAAUGGACAGAAUACCCCACGUGUUAAUGAGGGAAUAGAUGUUCAGGCUAAUGGUAAUGGCCAUAAUCAUGGUAACUUUGUUGCCAAUCAAGGACCAAACAUCAGGCCUCAUGCAAACCAACCGGUUAACCAACCUGUAGGAAUUCCAUAUGACCCCAACGUCAUGUUGAGGAACCAGAUUAUGGAAAUCGUACAGGAUCAUAUGGCUUUUGGGGUGCGUCCCGUCAUUAGGCCGACGUACACAAAGCCAUAUCUUGAUUGGGUAGAUCAAGCAUAUCCAUGGCCUAGAGGAUACAAAGUCGAAGUCACUUUGGCCGAUUUGGCGAAUUUACGUCAAAUGCCAAAUGAAUGGGCAGAAAGUUUUCUCCAUAGGUUCAAGACAGCAAGAAGCAAGUGUUUUGUACCUCUGCCCGAAAAAGAAUUUGUCAAGAUCGCUCAAGGCUGCUUGAGCUUUGAUUUAAAAAAGAAGUUCCAGGACAAGGAAUUCCCUGACCUUUUCCAGUUGAGUGCAAAUGUGAUUAGGUAUGAAUGACUGAUAAGAGAAGAAGAACAAAUGAAAAUUCUAGUAAAGGGAGUUAUUACAAAGACCCAAAUUUUGACGUUCAUACCAUCGACGACGAGUCAUACGAUCAAGCCGAAAUGUGUUUGGCCGAAUUGGUCAAAGGGGAUACAUAUACUUAUCCCAUAAUGGCCAAGCCUAGACCAUCGGGCAAAGAUGAGCCCAUAAAGGAUGGAAACAUAAAGGCUAGAAUGUUCUCGUUCGAUGUGACCAAAGCUGACCUUAUAUUCGACAAAUUAUAUAGGGAUAAGCAGAUAAGAUUGAGCGAUAAGCACAAAUUGUCAAACCCUGAACAAAUUAAGGGUAAAAAAUAUUGUAAAUGGCAUAAUGCAUGGUCACAUCUGACUAACAAUUGCUUGGUUUUCCGUCAUGUAUUGCAGGAUGCUAUUGAAUCAGGAAGAAUUACGUUCGAUGAUAAGAAAAAGAUGGCAGUGGACGAGAAUCCUUUCCUACAGCCACUUGGAGUAAACAUGGUAACAUCUGGAUUCAAGAACAAGUUAUCGAAAUUCAAAUUGGUCGUAGAUGACGGAGAAGAAGAUCCUAGACCACAUCCCAGCGUCUUUGAACGAAUCAAAGGAAAAAAACCAAAAAAGGACAAAGACAUCAUAUGUGCAAGGUGUAAAAGGAAAGUAAAUGGAAACACGGAGAAACCAGGGACAUGGCAGCAUCCUCAUCGCCCUGUUUUCUUCCCAAACAUUCAGCCUGGAAGAGGGCGAGGUACAUCAUUUUAUAGAGGACCGCCUUUUGAAAGGCAGUUCAGAUCAGCAGAUACUGGAAGAACAUUUAGGCCGCAACCUCGCCGGCCAAAUGUAUGGCAUUCAUUCCAGUACAAUGCUGGAAGGGCAAUACCCUUUGAUGAGAUGACUAGGACCCAACAAAGGCGUUUCCAACGAAACUACGGAUGGAUGAUGAGGCAGCAACAAGGAAUGUCACAUCCUAAAGCGCCUAUACUACUCAAAGUAGCCAAUCAAAACGUCCUCAAAGGUAGUAAAGAAGCCGGUACAGAUGAAUCAAUGAAGGAAUUGCCAGAAACCUCUUCUGGGAGAUCAAGGUUUGAAAGGGACAAGAGGGAUGAAGAAGAUCCAGAUCAACCCCUUGCUAUCCAAUUCGGUAUGUUGCCUCCUGUAGUGGCCAAUAAUUACCUACUGGCCAAUGAAUUCAAGAAUAAGGAAAAAGAAGAAGAGAGGGAGGACAACGAAGGAGAAGCCUGCGUGUUGGUAUGUGAAGAAGGCCAGACUUCUGGAGAGGCCUACAACGACGAGGAAGACGAUGGGAUGACGGACAUUGAAGAAGAAAUCGAUCUAGAAGCAGAAAGGAAAAAGAGAGGAGUAUCGCGCAAUACUCUGUUUAAGCAACUACAUCAAGAGGGAGUUCGUGAAGUAGACUUGUUGGGGGAGCCAUCUGGGCGUCCUUUCGAUUUCUACGUACUGUACGGGACACCCAAAAGGAAGAAGAGAGUGCCUCGCUCUGAAAAGUAUGGGUCACCUCCAAGAAUAAUGCCCCCUCCCACAGGUUGGAUAACUGAUGAGGAAGCAUUAGAAAAAAGUAAGAAGAAAGUUCAGGGGACAGAGGAUCAGCAUGACAUACUGCACGUCGACUUAUCAUAAGGGGAUAAUUCGACAGAAAACAAGUAAGAGGCAGAAAUAGAGGCUGCCGAAAAGGUUAUUUUUAAACGGUCAGCCAUGAAAUUAACUAAACACUUGAGGUCAUUAUACGUUAAAGCUCUAGUUAACGGUGUCCCAGUGGCAAAAGUGCUUGUCGACAAUGGAGCAACUAUAAACACCAUUCCAUCUAGGAUGGUGAGAAAGUUCGCAAAGACAGACGAUGACAUGAUUCCUACAGAAGUCAUCCUCACUAGCUUCAACGGAGGAGCAACUUCAGCUAAGGGAGUUAUGUCAUUAGACAUAACUAUAGGUACGACUACCAGGACCACUGUCUUCUUUGUAAUAGAUGGGCCUACUAGUUACAACGUGCUCCUAGGAAGAGAUUGGAUACACGGGAGUCACUGUAUACCCUCGUCGCUCCAUCAAUGCCUGAUUUUUUGGAAUGACAAAGGCGAAACAGAGGUGGUACAGGCUGAUCAUAGGCCUUUUGUCGCGGAAGCAAACUCGGUGGAAAAGUUCAUGUACGAAGGAAACUAUGGACUUGUCAGAGUAGUACAAGACGGGGAAAAAACUCAGGUUGUCACGCAAAGCAAAGAACCAUUCUCAGUGGACGCACUCACUGAGAUGUUCAAAUAGAUGAGGCCAAAUAUAGUGGCCCUGGAAGAGCCAGUAAUUGGCAAAAGAAUAAUUAAGGAAUCUUGAAUGGACUUUAAGUUACAAAAGCAAAUGGCCGACAUUCAGGCCUUCAAAGCCAGACUGAUGGCUUUCAAUAAGGAAUGCAAUGACAAAGCGAAGGAAGAGACUGCCCUAAAAGUGCUGAAGGACAAGUUGGCAGUAUUCGAGUUAGAGCAAAGCAUUGGCCGAGAAGUCAACAAGGUGGACUGUUUGGAAGAGGAAGUACUUACAAAAGAACUGGACGACGAAGUGAUGCGAAUUGCCAAACCUGGAUACGCUCAAGCGCAAGACCCUCUGAUCAAAGUAAAUAUUGGCGAUGAAGGAGAAGAUCACCCAACGUUUAUCAGCCAGAUGCUCGACCAAGAGGUUAGUAACAAAUUAAUCGCUUUGUUAAAAGAGUACAAAGAUUGUUUUGCUUGGGAAUAUGAACAAAUGCCUGGUUUAGAUAGAGACUUGGUGGAACAUAGGUUACCAACUAAGCCUAAUUUUAAACCUCAUAGGCAACCUCCUAGGCGUUUUGCUCCUAAUGUACUCCCUGAGGUUAGGAAAGAGAUAGAGCGAUUAUUGAAAGCAGGUUUUAUAAAAACAGCCAGAUAUGUUGAAUGGUUGUCGAAUAUUAUGCCAGUACUAAAAAAGAAUGGUAAACUAAGGGUGUGUAUAGACUUUAGAAAUUUAAACAUAGCUACACCCAAAGAUGAGUAUCCAAUGCCCACGGUAGAUUCUUUAGUAGAUUCAACUGCUGGACAUGUCAUGUAUUAUUUCAUGGAUGGGUAUUCAGAAUACAAUCAAAUUUAUAUAGCUGAAGAAGACAUACACAAAACUGCCUUUAGAUGCCCUGGGUCUCUAGGAUGUUUUGAAUGGGUAGUUAUGCCUUUCGGCCUAAAAAAUGCAGGGCCCACUUAUCAAAGGGCAAUGAAUUUAAUCUUUCAUGAUAUGAUAGGCAAGUUUGUUGAGGUGUAUGUAGACGACAUAGUAGUCAAGUCCAUUAAAGAAGAGGACCAUUUCGAACAGUUAAGAUGUUCAUUUGAACGAAUGAGGCAAUACAAGCUAAAGUUAAAUCCCUUGAAGUGUGCAUUUGGUGUUAAUGCAGGGAACUUUCUUGGUUUCUUAGUACACAAGAGAGGGAUUGAACUUGAUAAAAAUAAAGCGAAGGCUAUCUUAGAAGUCAAACCACCUAGCAACAAAAAGGAGUUGCAAAGGUUUCUAGGCCAAGUAAAUUUUUUAAGACGCUUUAUUUCUAACUGUGCAGGGCGAACUAAAGUUUCUUCGCCGAUAUUAAAGCUGAAAAAUCAGGACGAAUUUGUCUGGAAAGCAGAACAUCAAAAGGCUUUUGAAAGCCUGAAGACAUAUCUAUCAAGUCCACCAGUAUUGGUGUCACCAAUCCAAGGACGGCCAAUGAAAGUGUAUGUAUCGACUGAAAAAGAAUCAAUAGCUGGAAUGGUCGCACAGGAAGACCAAUUUGGUGAAGAAAGGGCAAUUUACUACUUAAGUAGACGGUUAACGAAAUGUGAAUGAAAUUACUCUACUGUUGAAAAAUUGUGUCUUGCACUGUAUUUCACAUGUACAAAAUUAAGGGCUUCUUUACGGUCCGUAACCGUUUAUUUAAUUUCUAAAGUAAAUUUAGUUAAGUAUAUGUUCUCGCGCCCUAUUUUACACCAAAGGGUAGGCCUUUGGACACUAGCUUUAUCAGAGUUCGAAAUACAAUAUAUACCUCAAAAGGCAGUCAAAAAUCAGGCUUUGGCUAACUUCCUAGCCGAUCAUCCAUGCCUUGACAUGCCUGAAGAAAUCGAAUUAGAAAUCAAUUCGUUCGAAUUAAAACCUUGGGUGUUGUAUUUCGAUGGGUCAAAAACCUCUAAAGGUACAGGAGUAGGAGUAGCAUUGAUUAAUCCUUUAGGGAUUUGCUACAAGUUUGCAUUCACCUUAGACAGAAUGUGCACCAACAAUCAGGCCGAAUAUGAAGCCUUAAUUGUAGGCCUAGAACUAAUGAUAGAUAUGGGAGUAAGAAAUGCGAUCGUUAGGGGCGAUUCUCAAUUAUCAAUUGAUCGGUGAUUUUAAAUGCCAAAGUGAUUCCAUCAUAAGUCAAUAUGAGAUCGCCCAAGAAUUAUUAGAGGAAUUUGAUCAAGUAGAACUUCAAUGCGUUAAGAGGAUAUAUAACGACGUGGCAAAUGAGUUAGCCCAAAUGGCUUCAGGGUACUCAAAGGUCUUGAAUUGAAAGUCUACUUGUGAGUAUGGAACCAUAUUGCCUGUAACUCAAAGAAGGGCGAGAAAAAUUGAACUUCACUAUAUACAAGAUGGAGAUGCAGUGGAUUGGAGAACAAAGAUUAAAGGGUUCCUUAAAGAACCUAAUGGAGGGAUUAGUAGGAAAACGAAGUUAUGUUUGCUGAAUUACACACUAAUAGAUGAAGAGUUGUUUAAGAAACGCUCUGAUGAUGUAUUACUAAAGUGUGUAAGUUUGCAAGAAGCCAAGACGAUCAUGGCUGAAGUGCACGAAGGGAUAUGUGGAGCUCAUCAAGCUGGCCAAAGGAUCAGAUGGUUAAUUAUUAGGAGUGGAUAUUUUUGGCCAAAGAUGGGAGAACUAUGCAUUCAGUAUACAAAAAGUUGUUUAGCGUGCCAAAAGUAUGGUCCAAUACAAAGGGCGCCAGCACGAGAAAUGGCACCUAUUAUUAAACCUUGGCCGUUCAAAGGUUGGGCGAUAGAUCUAAUAGGGAAGAUCUACCCUCCAUCGUCCAAGCAACAUACUUUUGUUAUAGUUGCAACCGACUAUUUCACCAAAUGGGUAGAGGCGGUACCUUUGAAAGAGAUCACCCAGAAGAAUGUUAUAGAGUUUAUCCGUGAUCAUAUUAUUUAUAGGUUUGGAAUUCCACAAACUUUAAUGGUAGAUCACGGAACAUCUUUAAAUGGGGAUCAAGUGAACAAAUUUUUGAGCGAGUUUGGGGUUAAAUAAAUAAACUCCACACCAUACUACGCUCAAUCCAACGGACAAGCGGAAUCUUCUGAUAAGAUUCUGAAAAAUAUCAUCAGAAAGAUGAUAGAUGAAAACGCCAGAAAUUGGCACGAAUGUUUGAACAAGGCCUUAUGGGCUUAUAGAACAUCACCUCGGUCAAGUACCAAAGUUACUCCUUUUCAACUUGUUUAUGGACAGGAAGCUGUUUUACCUAUGGAAAUCAACGUGCAAUCGAUUUGAGUGUGCUUGCAACAUAAGCUAAAUGAUGAUGAGUAUGCCGAAUCACUAGUUCAAAAUUUAUUGAGUUUAGACGAAUUGAAGUUGGACGUCUUAGAUAGGUUGCAAGUUCAAAAGCAAAGAAUGGCUAAGUUUUAUAAUAAAAAAGUCAUAGCCAAGUCGUUCAGCCUGGGUGAACUAGUUUGGAAGACAAUACUCUCUUUGGAUACCAAGGAUCCAAAGUACGGGAAGUGGUCGCCCAAUUGGGAAGGGCCAUACAAAAUAAACAGUGUGGUGCCUAAUGGAGUGUACCACUUGGAAGAUUUAGAUGGCACCAAGCACAUAAGAUUCAUUAACGGCAAAUAUUUGAAAAAAUAUGUUCCUUCUUUAUAGGAAUGUGAACAGAUAAAAACAUAACCAAAUAUUCUGGAAGAUCAAAAGAUAAUAAAGACAGAGCGAAAUACGUUCGAAUAAAGUUCUUUAUUAUUAAACGUUCAUUACAAGAAUACAAAAGAUAUAAAUAAUGGACGUGCUACAAAAUACAACUAAAGUAAGAUGAUCUCCCGGUUGAUCGCUAAGUAAGCUUCACGCCGCCUUCCUAAAUGCAUCGCUGCAAUGGUGGGAUUGUCGAGUAAGAGGGUGUACUGGCCUCACCACCUUCCUAAAUGCAUCGCUGCAAUGGCGAGCAAAGAGGCUGAGAAGCACUCUCAGCAGGCAAGUGGCCCACAAGCAGCUCAAAAAUUGCCUUCCAUCAUUGACUCCUUGUGAAGAACAAAGAGACGAUGGGAAGAAUUUUGCAGGAAAGAACUUCGCUGUUGGCCAGAAAAUAUUUCCUAUACCUUCCAUACCAAAGGUGACAUCAAGGUAAAUAUAAGACGGACGGACUAAACAGUCCAUUUUUGGAUCAGGUUGAUCGUCAGAAUGCCAAGAAAUGGCAGCAAAUUGGUUUCGAAGAAGAAAAUGAAGAGAUGAAGAUAGAGGAUGAAAAAUGCGAAGCAUUUAUAGGGGGUGAAGAUGAAGAGACAGAAUAUGAACAGCCACAUUUCUGUCUAAUAAACGGAAUUAAAUAGCCCUAAGUCUUAGGAAAAGUGGUGGAAAUAUCAAAAGGGAAUGUACAAGAUUCUUAGUGCAAAGCAGUUAAGUGCUUAAAGAAUUGAUGACUAAAAAAUAAACGUCAAAUAAAUGCACAAGAAGUUAAUGUUCAUUAAUGAUGAACAAAGUUACAGAAGGAAAAAUCGAAUUACAAAAUAAAAAAGACAUCGUAUGUCUUAAUUACAGUCUACCCCAUAAGGAACGAAUUCGUUCCCUAAGUUUUUCCCAAUCCUCGUUCUGUCGAGAGGAAGUGAUGUUCAAUUCAGCCGCGACGUCAUCAUCAUCAACUUUCAACUUCUUGUACUGCUCGACCAAGGACUUAUUUUGCUCAAUUCCUUGGGAGGCGUUGCGCUUUUUAGCAGCCAUCCUCGCCCUGCAGUCAUCCAUUUUAGCUUGAAGUUCCCUCAUCUGAGUAGCCAAGUUAACCAUCAAAGAGUCUUCAAUCAUGACUUCGGAGGAGAUUUCUUUCAACUCGUCCUCAGCCUUGUUAAUUUCCAUACGCAAAGACUCUUUCUCAGCUACGGCUCGAAGAUAUUGAGUACACUUGGCCUUUAGCUCAGUAUUCUUGGCCAGCAUAGAAAGGACCUCGGAGUGGAUAAUCUUCAACGUCGCUUUAAAAUCGGCAGAAAGAUUGAGCGACGGAAGCGUCAAUGCUUGCUCCAACUUCGCACUCAAGUGCUCAAGUUCAUCCUUGUGCCUGGCAGCACUAGCCCUUCCAAUAUCCAUAUCCAUGAAGGAUACGUACUCAAAUAUCAAUUCCUUCAGAAACUUCAAGUCUUCCUCUGAAGAAGCAGCAGGACGAUCGGAUGGAGCAGGGCGAAACGCCUGAAUUUGCCCCCAGGAAGCGAACAAGUCUUGGAUAGAACGCACAAUCCUGUCAGCAUCCUGCAAAGAAGACUGCCAAUAUUGAAAAUCCUCACUACAACGAACAAGGUGAAAAUAGAAGUAAAGCAAAAAACUACCUCGUCGACAAUCGUAGAAGAUGGCGCGCCCUCAGCCAAGCUUGCCACCAACGACUCAUCCAUUCGUGAGGACUUCCCCUUGUCCAAGCGAGAAGAUGUUGCCACAACGGGCGGACUCAUAGGAGUAUCUGCAAAGCUCAAGAGCAAUAAAUCAGAAACCAAUAGCACGAGCAAAGGUAAGACAUCAAAAAAAAACUGAAUUAACUUCUUCUUCGAUGUUUGGGAGGUUGACGCCCUGGGAAGAAGGUAGCUCAUCCAUGGGUUGUGAUGAGGAUUCUGGGACUGAAGAUGUCUCUUUAAGCGUAGCCCCCUCAUCAACUGGUUUGGAUGAAGUAGCCUCAGCAGAAGAUGAUGGAGCAGGAGUUGUCGAUGUCAAAGCCUUUGAAGGAGAGGCUGAACUUUUCUGAGAAAUCCAAAAGAUCAUCAGCACACAGAAAAGUUUCAAGUGUGGAAAAGUAUACUUGUAAGUAAACCAACUUAAUUACCUUCCUCCUGACAAUAAGAGGGGCAUCAUCAUCAUCAUCGACAUCAUCCUCCAGAAUGAGAGAUGCUGAGGCUGGCCGUUUGAGGCUUGGAGCACUUUUGGCCGUAGUAGGCUUGGCAGGGAGGGAAGAAGAUGGACGAGCAGAUUUUUUAGUGCGAUGAGAAGGAGAGGGACUCCGAAUAGACAAAGGAGUGACCAAAACAGAAGGAGGAGAAGAAAUACUUGGUUGGUCUAAUGAAUGGAAGGCACGAUUGGCCUCAGUCGCAAAUAAUCUGUGCUUCACCGAUGGCCAGAGUUGUUCAAAAAGAGGGUGAAUGGCGUGGCUAGAAUUGAAAGGGGCCAAUGAAAAAUGACUGGUUAAAAGGAGAUUACGAGCAUCUAUAGCCUCUGCCUCCGCUUUAGUAAUGGUAUGAAAACGGUCAACUAAAUUCUUUGAAUAGCAAGGAGGAACAGGCCAAGUUUGGCCAAAACCAAGCUGGUGAGCAAAAAAUUGGGGAGCAUAAAUCUCUAUCCCAGCCUUGGCAUUAGUCCCAGUUAGAAUAUCAUGAAAUAGCUCCCUCCCGGUUAAAAACUGAAUCCAAAUGAGCAGGGAGGUGCUCGCGCUAUCUAUGGUGGAAGAGGGAUGUACAUAGUUUGGAGUUAAGAAAGGAGGAAAAGGAAAAAAGGAAGAGAUUGAAUCUAAAGAAUAAAAGAAUGAAAAAAUGUCCCUUUUGGACAUAUUUACAGGAGUUAGGGGCUCCAUAGCUAGCCCGUAAUAGUUAGCAGAAGGACGAGAAAUGGAUGGAGUACCAAGCGAUGGAAAAUAGGAUUUCAACCACAGUUGAGUAAACCAAAGAGGUCCACUGCCAGUGGGAGAUGCACCAUUCUUCAAUUGAGCAUGAAGAGAAGCCAUGCCUCUAUAAAGGGCAGCCAAAAACAAAGAACAUAAAUUCAAAGGUUUGCCACGCGCCAAUUCGUGCGCUAUGGGUAAAUAACUCAGAGAAGGCUUUAUACUUGGCACGCACAAAACAUAUUUACAAAGCCAAACUAAAAGGAAGGUCACUCGCUCAGUAUGGGUAGGCUCAGCACUCGAAUGAUUGUGGAGGGUCUGCAGGCUUGAAUAAGAGUCGGUAUAGUUUUUACCAAACUUUGGGGCGCUACCAGAAACUAAGAUACCUGGGAAAAUGGUAUCGCCCAAAGGUGGUAGAUUCACCAGGGCCCCAACAUCCCUUAACAUAAUAGACAUGGGGCCAAGAGGAAAAAUAAAGGUGUUAUACUCAGGGGACCAAAAACUCAAAACAAUCGAAAAGAGCGCUGAAUCAAAAGUAGGGGGACGAAUAGAGACUUUUAACAAAUCAGAAAUCCUAGCGCUAUCAAAAAGUGCCUUAGUAGGACCAUGACCCACAAGGCGAGCAUGCCACCUACGAAAACUUACAUCAGAUUUAGGCCAAGUGUGAAUACCUCUUUCGCGAAGUGACCCCAGCGGUAGAGAGUUCAGGAAUGGAUGACCCUGAGUGCAGGGAAACAGCUGACCCACUGCCGCCUGUUCAACUGCCUCUGCAUUGUUGAAGAAAGGACCCAAGUAGAACUCAUUACGUCCAACGUCAGCGGGUGCGAGAAAACUUGGGGUUAUGUAUAGGCGACUCAGAAGUCUCUGAAAGUCAUCAAAACUAAAGGAGUCGCUAGCUUGAGAUUGUGAAGCAGCCAUUGGAGAAGGAACGAAGCUUUUCAAGGUUACGUAACAAGGAAGCAAAAGAUGAACAGUGAAUCGUGAAAGAGACGCAAAAAAUAUGAGGCGUGGUUUGGUAGCAGUGAAAUGGCUUGUUUGGGGUUUAUAAGGGUUUGCAAAACGACGCACCUUUUCAAGUUAUAGAAGGAAACAAUGAUUGAAAUUCUUGAGAAUUUCGAACGUUGCUGGAAACACAACGUGAAUAUGGAAAAAUUCAAUAAUUAUUAUUAAUUCUGCCAUAUUGGGGGUAAUUGUUGACACAUAAAAAUUCAGCUCAAAUCGAACGGCCCAAGGAGUAAAGCCCAAUUGGAGGAUCCCCAAAUCAGAUAGUCCAAAGAACGAAGUCCAAUCGAACAAAUCAAGGUGAAGGCCCAAAUAAGGGGGCCCAAGAAUGCUAUAAUGCCAUCGCCCAGGUUUGCAAGUCGCCCAGAAUCUGAACGAAUAGAGUGUUAUACGGUCGCCCAGAGCUGUUAUUCUAUUCUCGCCCAAACCUUCAAGUCGCCCAAGGUAUCAACAAACAUAACGCGUCGUGGUUAUCAAGAAAUGCAGUUAUCAAAGCAGUGGUUAAAGCAGCCCUAUCACGUUCCACGAUUCAAGGAAUUCAAUCGAAAGCGGUUGAAC